rnacentral:rRNA from 1 species
AACGAACGCUGGCGGCAUGCCUAACACAUGCAAGUCGAACGAGACCUUCGGGUCUAGUGGCGCACGGGUGCGUAACGCGUGGGAACCUGCCCUUAGGUUCGGAAUAACUCCCCGAAAGGGGUGCUAAUACCGGAUAAUGUCUUCGGACCAAAGAUUUAUCGCCUUUGGAUGGGCCCGCGUUGGAUUAGCUAGUUGGUAGGGUAAAAGCCUACCAAGGCGACGAUCCAUAGCUGGUCUGAGAGGAUGAUCAGCCACACUGGGACUGAGACACGGCCCAGACUCCUGCGGGAGGCAGCAGUGGGGAAUAUUGGACAAUGGGCGAAAGCCUGAUCCAGCAAUGCCGCGUGAGUGAUGAAGGCCUUAGGGUUGUAAAGCUCUUUUACCCGGGAUGAUAAUGACAGUACCGGGAGAAUAAGCACCGGCUAACUCCGUG